rnacentral:misc_RNA from 1 species
GAUGACGAACGUAGCGAAAUGCGAUAAGUAAUGUGAAUUGCAGAAUCCAGUGAAUCAUCGAAUCUUUGAACGCACAUUGCGCCCGCCAGCAUUCUGGCGGGCAUGCCUGUUCGAGCGUCAUUUCAACCCUCGACCUCCCCUUGGGGAGGUCGGCGUUGGGGACCGGCAGCACACCGCCGGCCCUGAAAUGGAGUGGCGGCCCGUCUGCGGCGACCUCUGCGUAGUAAUACAGCUCGCACCGGAACCCCGACGCGGCCACGCCGUAAAACACCCAACUUCUGAACGUUGACCUCGAAUCAGGUAGGACUACCCGCUGAACUUAAGCAUAUCAAUAAGCGGAGGA